CAGAUUGGGUGUGUGCUAAAUUAAUUUAAGUGUAACAUGUUGCUUCUACCAUAUGUAGUCAUGUUUUGUGGUUGAACAUCAUUAAGUAAUGUUAUUUUAGCAUGAUGUGGAAUAAUUUAAGAUUUACUAAAUUCAGUUAUGCUGACAGAACCUAAUGCUUUUUGUGUAAGGUAUCAAAUGGCGUGUAGAACUCCAGAACAGAAGGUGGCAGUAGUGUGCGAGCAGGGAGUGCAUUUACAAACUUUACUUCCGGAAGGUGCAGAAGAAGGAAGAGCAACACACAAAGACGCGGGAAGACGGACAAGUUGGGGAUGGCGGUAAGCAUUCUGUGACUGCAAGGGGAGAGGCUGGGUGUCCUAGUGUUUGCAAGCCUUAAGAUUUGUGGCAGAGUUAUUUAAAUGGCCAGACGACAUACACACAGCUUUCUUAAUAUACAUUCAAGACCAAGUUUCCUCUGUCAUCAAGCAAAACCUGUUUCAUCAACCGAGUGACUGCAGUAUAGGGUCAUCCACAAAUAUCUCUCCUUCACCAUCAUUGAUUGCUCUCUCGCUGGUCAUCACAGAAAUUCAAGACAAUUCAGACCGACAACAUUGAUGCGAAAAGAGAGUGCCUCCGUCAGGCGCUGUCGGUCUACUUGAACGAAGACCCGGAGAAAGUGGUGAAAGAACGCAUGGACUGAUGUUGACAUGGGUUAAGCUGAAAUGGAGACUGUCUUUGGAGUAUUUGUGAUACGCAGAGAAGGUGCAGAAUGUGAUGAUGGUCCAGAUGAUGUGGGCAUCAUUUUGGAGGGGGUACAAGUCCUCAAUGAGCUGGGUAAUGUAGCAGUAGCAGUUGCAAUGCUGUUCACUUUAGUUCAUGCACUCAAUCUCAGCUACCCCCCAGAGUGGAAAUACACUUUCGAAGCUCUGCAGAAACUCAUCAUGGGGCUUGAUGGACAGAAGUUGUCUAAGAAACUGCAGGUGCUGAAAACCCUACUUACGUGUUAAUAUUUUGUAGGGUAGCUGUUAGAGGUCUUCAACAACGAAAGUAUCCCAGAGUCAUGUUGGGGAGGCAGGUGGGGAGUCGUUCAGUCAAUAUUAGUGUUUUAAAAUGUUUCAAUGCUCCCAGUUGUUGCAAAAAUGUGGAGAAGCCUUCUGUUCCGUGUUAAUCUAUUUCUGUGUUAACAAUGCUUCAAAUUGUUGCCUUGUUUGAAUUUGAAGGACAUGUGUAUGAGUAUUUCAGACUAUUUUUCCAUUAAAAAAGAAAGAUGACAAUAGGUAAAUCUGUUUCAUCUCAUUUUGAAUUUUAAAAUGAGACUGAAUUUUUAGCAUUGCAUAUUAUAGCAUUGAAAUACUCGUACUCGUCAUCUUCUGCUUUAUCCGGGACCGGGUCGUAGGGGCAGCAGACUCAGCAGAGACGCCCAGACGUCCCUCUCUCCAGACAC